GGCGCGGCGGGAGCGGCGCUCCGGGGGCGAGCGGGGGGGCAUGGGAGCGUAAUGCGCUGUGUGGUGAUGUUGGAUAAGGAUACCCACCGGGAAUGGGAUUUAUAUUUAUCAGCUCAGUGGAGGAAAUCUGCCAUCAGAACCUGAAAUGAAUCUCCAGAGUUUUUGUAGAUGGGCAAUAUCAACCAAAGGGAUGAGAUCCAAGCUCGGUGUCCACCACUGCAUAUACAACACAGGACACCCUCAGUCCAGUACCUGUGUCACCCCACACUCCUCAGGACUGAGAGAGGAACCACCCACCAGCAGCCAUGUUUCUUGGUAACUUCCUAUUGUCAGACCAUGGUUACUCAGGGCAUUAUGUCAGUUGUUUCAGCCUGUUUUUAUUGACUGGGUAAAUAACGCUCUUGAUUGCAGCAGUUACAGUUUUCCCUGUGGUUAUGUUUGGCAGCAAGCUGCUCACCCUUCUUUAACUGCACUGUUAAUUAGGAGGUCUAUGUUUCCCUUCUUGUCAAAAGCAACUAAGCUCCCUGCCACUGGAAUCCCUCCUCCUCUCUUCUCCUAGGGUGAGAGAACAGUGAUCGUUUGCUUGGUUACGCUUCAGGUUUUCUGUAUGCUUUUAAUAAAAUCUGUAAUUAAUACUUU